UCCUGCAGCCCAUGUACCUUAUGCUGGGAUUGUGGGAGAUCUCGAAAGCAAAGCAGCACUUCGUCUGGAUAGUACUUGGAUGGGAGACCUGCAAAGACGAUCUGAGGUGCUGCAGGAA
ensembl:rRNA 5S_rRNA 5S ribosomal RNA